rnacentral:rRNA from 1 species
UGGGGAAUAUUGCACAAUGGGCGCAAGCCUGAUGCAGCCAUGCCGCGUGUGUGAAGAAGGCCUUCGGGUUGUAAAGCACUUUCAGCGAGGAGGAAGGGUAGUGUGUUAAUAGCACAUUGCAUUGACGUUACUCGCAGAAGAAGCACCGGCUAACUCCGUGCCAGCAGCCGCGGUAAUACGGAGGGGGCAAGCGUUAAUCGGAAUUACUGGGCGUAAAGCGCACGCAGGCGGUUUGUUAAGUCAGAUGUGAAAUCCCCGCGCUUAACGUGGGAACUGCAUUUGAAACUGGCAAGCUAGAGUCUUGUAGAGGGGGGUAGAAUUCCAGGUGUAGCGGUGAAAUGCGUAGAGAUCUGGAGGAAUACCGGUGGCGAAGGCGGCCCCCUGGACAAAGACUGACGCUCAGGUGCGAAAGCGUGGGGAGCAAACA